UACGUAGGGCGCAAGCGUUGUCCGGAAUUAUUGGGCGUAAAGAGCUCGUAGGCGGUCUGUCACGUCGGCUGUGAAAGCCCGGGGCUCAACCCCGGGUCUGCAGUCGAUACGGGCAGGCUAGAGUGCGGUAGGGGAGACUGGAAUUCCUGGUGUAGCGGUGAGAUGCGCAGAUAUCAGGAGGAACACCGGUGGCGAAGGCGGGUCUCUGGGCCGUAACUGACGCUGAGGAGCGAAAGCGUGGGGAGCAAACAGG
rnacentral:rRNA from 1 species